rnacentral:rRNA from 1 species
GACGAACGCUGGCGGCGUGCUUAACACAUGCAAGUCGAACGGAAAGGCCCUGCUUUUGUGGGGUGCUCGAGUGGCGAACGGGUGAGUAACACGUGAGUAACCUGCCCUUGACUUUGGGAUAACUUCAGGAAACUGGGGCUAAUACCGGAUAGGAGCUCCUGCUGCAUGGUGGGGGUUGGAAAGUUUCGGCGGUUGGGGAUGGACUCGCGGCUUAUCAGCUUGUUGGUGGGGUAGUGGCUUACCAAGGCUUUGACGGGUAGCCGGCCUGAGAGGGUGACCGGCCACAUUGGGACUGAGAUACGGCCCAGACUCCUACGGGAGGCAGCAGUGGGGAAUAUUGCACAAUGGGCGGAAGCCUGAUGCAGCAACGCCGCGUGCGGGAUAACGGCCUUCGGGUUGUAAACCGCUUUCGCCUGUGACGAAGCGUGAGUGACGGUAAUGGGUAAAGAAGCACCGGCUAACUACGUGCCAGCAGCCGCGGUGAUACGUAGGGUGCGAGCGUUGUCCGGAUUUAUUGGGCGUAAAGGGCUCGUAGGUGGUUGAUCGCGUCGGAAGUGUAAUCUUGGGGCUUAACCCUGAGCGUGCUUUCGAUACGGGUUGACUUGAGGAAGGUAGGGGAGAAUGGAAUUCCUGGUGGAGCGGUGGAAUGCGCAGAUAUCAGGAGGAACACCAGUGGCGAAGGCGGUUCUCUGGGCCUUUCCUGACGCUGAGGAGCGAGAGCGUGGGGAGCGAACAGGCUUAGAUACCCUGGUAGUCCACGCUGUAAACGGUGGGUACUAGGUGUGGGGUCCAUUCCACGGGUUCCGUGCCGUAGCUAACGCUUUAAGUACCCCGCCUGGGGAGUACGGCCGCAAGGCGAAAACUCAAAGGAAUUGACGGGGCCCCGCACAAGCGGCGGAGCAUGCGGAUUAAUUCGAUGCAACGCGUAGAACCUUACCUGGGUUUGACAUGGAUCGGGAGUGCUCAGAGAUGGGUGUGCCUCUUUUGGGGUCGGUUCACAGGUGGUGCAUGGCUGUCGUCAGCUCGUGUCGUGAGAUGUUGGGUUAAGUCCCGCAACGAGCGCAACCCUUGUUCACUGUUGCCAGCACGUUAUGGUGGGGACUCAGUGGAGACCGCCGGGGUCAACUCGGAGGAAGGUGGGGAUGACGUCAAGUCAUCAUGCCCCUUAUGUCCAGGGCUUCACGCAUGCUACAAUGGCUGGUACAGAGAGUGGCGAGCCUGUGAGGGUGAGCGAAUCUCGGAAAGCCGGUCUCAGUUCGGAUUGGGGUCUGCAACUCGACCUCAUGAAGUCGGAGUCGCUAGUAAUCGCAGAUCAGCAACGCUGCGGUGAAUACGUUCCCGGGGCU